GGAAUAUUGGACAAUGGGGGAAACCCUGAUCCAGCAACGCCGCGUGGAGGACGAAGGCCCUCGGGUUGUAAACUCCUGUCAGGUGGGACGAAGAGUCGUCGAUUAAUACUCGGCGCACUCUGACGGUACCACCGGAGGAAGCCCCGGCUAACUCCGUCCCCCCAGCCGCGGUAAUACGGAGGGGGCAAGCGUUAUUCGGAAUUAUUGGGCGUAAAGGGCGCGUAGGCGGCCUGGCAAGUCAGGGGUGAAAUCCCUCGGCUCAACCGAGGAACUGCCUCUGAAACUGCCUGGCUUGAGGCCGGGAGAGGGUAGUGGAAUUCCCAGUGUAGCGGUGAAAUGCGUAGAUAUUGGGAGGAACACCGGUGGCGAAGGCGGCUACCUGGACCGGUUCUGACGCUGAGGCGCGAAAGUGUGGGGAGCA
rnacentral:rRNA from 1 species